rnacentral:tRNA from 1 species
GCGCCUGUAGCUCAGUUGGAUGAGAGCAUCGGCCUUCUAAGCCGACGGUCGGCCGUUCGAAUCGGCCCAGGCGCA